rnacentral:rRNA from 1 species
ACUGCUAUUUGGGUGAGGAUAAGCCAUGCGAGUUGGAUGGGAUACCUAAACUUCCCAUAGCAAACUGCUUAGUAACACAUGAUCAACUUGCCCUAUGGAAAAACUAACCUCGGGAAACUGAGGAUAAUGGUUCAUAGUUGAAUAGGCUUGGAAAAGUUUUUCAAUGAAAGGAAUAAGAUAAAUGGUUCUUAUUUGCCAUAGGAUAGGAUCGUGGUCGAUUAUGGUAGUUGGUGAGAUAACGGCUCACCAAGCCGAUAAUCGAUAGGGGCCGUGAGAGCGGGAGCCCCAAGAUGGGUACUGAGACAGCGACCCAGGCCUUACGAGGCGCAGCAGGCGCGAGACCUCCGCAAUACACGAAUGUGUGACGGGGUUACCCAAAGUGUUCUCUUAAGAACUGUGGUAGGUGAGUAAUUCCCCUGCUAGAAAGGAGAGGGCAAGACUGGUGCCAGCCGCCGCGGUAAAACCAGCUCUUCAAGUGGUCGGGAUAAUUAUUGGGCUUAAAGUGUCCGUAGCCGGUUUAGUAAGUUCCUGGUAAAAUCGGGUAGCUUAACUAUCUGCAUGCUAGGAAUACUGCUAUACUAGAGGGCGGGAGAGGUCUGAGGUACUACAGGGGUAGGGGUGAAAUCUUAUAAUCCUUGUAGGACCACCAGUGGCGAAGGCGUCAGACUGGAACGCGCCUGACGGUGAGGGACGAAAGCCAGGGGAGCGAACCGGAUUAGAUACCCGGGUAGUCCUGGCCGUAAACGAUGCAUACUAGGUGAUGGUACGGCCAUGAGCCGUAUCAGUGCCGUAGGGAAACCGUUAAGUGUGCCGCCUGGGAAGUACGGUCGCAAGGCUAAAACUUGAAGGAAUUGGCGGGGGAGCACCACAAGGGGUGAAGCCUGCGGUUCAAUUGGACCCAACGCCGGGAAACUUACCAGGGGAGACAGCAGAAUGAGGGUCAGGUUGACGACCUUACCUGAUGAGCUGAGAGGAGGUGCAUGGCCGUCGCCAGUUCGUGCUGUGAGGUAUCCUGUUAAGUCAGGCAACGAACGAGAUCCGCACCUUUAUUUGCCAACAAGAAGUUACGACUUCGUUGGGAACACUAAAGGGACCGCCGUCGAUAAGACGGAGGAAGGAGCGGGCAAAGGCAGGUCAGUAUGCCCCGAAACCCCUGGGCUACACGCGGGCUGCAAUGGUAUGAACAAUGGGCUGUAACUCCGAAAGGAGAAACCAAUCCCGAAAUCAUAUCACAGUGGGGAUUGUUGGCUGUAACCCGCCGACAUGAACGUGGAAUCCCUAGUAAUCGUGUGUCAUCAUCGCACGGUGAAUACGUCUCUGCUCCUUGCACACACCGCCCGUCGCUCCAUCCGAGUGUACUAAAAAUGAGGUUUGGUCAGACUGGUCAUAUCGAGUUUCUAGUAUGCGAGGAGGGAGAAGUCGUAACAAGGUA